rnacentral:rRNA from 1 species
UACGGAGGGUGCAAGCGUUAAUCGGAAUUACUGGGCGUAAAGCGUGCGUAGACGGUAGCGUAAGUCGGGUGUGAAAGCCCCGGGCUCAACCUGGGAAUUGCAUUCGAGACUGCAUGGCUAGGGUGCGGAAGAGGGAAGCGGAAUUUCCGGUGUAGCGGUGAAAUGCGUAGAUAUCGGAAGGAACACCAGUGGCGAAAGCGGCUUCCUGGUCCAGCACCGACGUUCAGGCACGAAAGCGUGGGGAGCAAACAGG